UAGGGAAUCUUCCACAAUGGACGCAAGUCUGAUGGAGCAACGCCGCGUGAGUGUAGAAGGGUUUCGGCUCGUAAAGCUCUGUUGUUAAAGAAGAACGUGGGUAAGAGUAACUGUUUACCCAGUGACGGUAUUUAACCAGAAAGCCACGGCUAACUACGUGCCAG
rnacentral:rRNA from 1 species